rnacentral:rRNA from 1 species
CCUACGGUAGGCAGCAGUGAGGAAUAUUGGUCAAUGGACGCAAGUCUGAACCAGCCAAGUAGCGUGCAGGAUGACGGCCCUCCGGGUUGUAAACUGCUUUUAGUUGGGAAUAAAAGGGGGCUCGUGAGCCCCGUAUUGUAUGUACCAUCAGAAAAAGGACCGGCUAAUUCCGUGCCAGCAGCCGGGGUAAUACGGAAGGUCCGGGCGUUAUCCGGAUUUAUUGGGUUUAAAGGGUGCGCAGGCGGAGGUGCAAGUCAGCGGUCAAAUUGCGGGCUCAACCCCGUACUGCCGUUGAAACUGCAUCCCUUGAGUGCGCGAGAAGUAUGCGGAAUGCGUGGUGUAGCGGUGAAAUGCAUAGAUAUCACGCAGAACUCCGAUUGCGAAGGCAGCAUACCGGCGCGCAACUGACGCUCAUGCACGAAAGCGUGGGUAUCGAACAGGAUUAGAUACCCUGGUAGUC